ACUUGACUCCGUCCAAUAAAACAACAGAAGAAAAGUGCGUCCCAGUUCCAGUUCCUCUCCAGACCUACACCUUUUCUAACCUUCUCCGCAGCGAAAGGAGCCCAUUCCCCACUCAAGCAUUUGAACAGGGAUUCAAAGCAAACACUUAGUUAAUUCUCAGGAGGUACAGCAAGAUGGUGACAUCGAGGUGACCAUGGCAGUUAUUUAACCCCAACUGGUGCAAUGUUGCUUCUAAUUUCUUAAACAACCAUGUCGAAAGACGCAUCCUGUGGUCGUGGAAAAGAUGUUAGUGUGUUUGAGAAGGGUCAAAUCAUUGGCUUGCAUCAAGCAGAGAAAACAUCUAAGGAGAUUGCAGAAACUACUAAAAUUGGUUUAAGAACUGUCCAACGCAUUAUUAAAAACUGGAAAGAUAGUGGGGACCCAUCGGCUUCGAGGAAGAAAUGUGGCCGUAAAAAAAUCCUGAAUGAUCGUGAUCGGCGAUCACUUAAACGUUUGGUGAAAUCAAAUCGAAGAAAAACAACAGUAGAACUCAGGGCUAUGUUUAAUAGUGAAAGUAAGAGCAUUUCCACACGCACAAUGCGACGGGAACUCAAGGGAUUGGGACUGAACAGCUGUGUAGCCUUAAGAAAACCACUAAUCAGUCAGCCUAACCGGAAAAAAAGGCUUCAAUUUGCUAGGGAGCAUAAAGAUUGGACUCUGGAGCAAUGGAAGAACUGCAUGCGGUCUGAUGAGUCCGUCAAUCUGGAACAGGGUCAAUCUGGACCCAUCACUGUAAGAAGAGAGGCAGAUGAAGUGAUGGACCCAUCACGCCUAGUGCCUACUGUACAAGCCUGCGAGGGCAGUGCAUCUGGGGUUGCUGCAGUUGGUCAGGUCUAGGUUCAGCAACAGUCUGCUCAUGAGGUCAGCUGACUGCCUGAAUAUACUGAAUAACCAGGUUAUUCCAUCAAUGGAUUUUUCUCCUUCCCUGAUGACACGGGCAUAUUCCAAGAUGACAAUGCCAGGAUUCUUCAGGCUCAAACUGAAAGGGAGCAUGAGCCAUCAUUUUCACACAUAGAUUGGCCACCACAGAGUUUAGACCUUAACAACAUUGAGAAUCUUUGGGAUGUGCUGGAGAAGGCUUUGUGCAGCGGUCAGACUCUACCAUCAUCAAUGCAAGAUCUUGGUGAAAAAUGUAUGCAACGCUGGAUGGAAAUAAAUCUUGUGACUUGCGGAAGCUUAAUGAAACAAUGCCACAGUGAAUGUGUGCUGUAAUCAAAGCUAAAGGCAGAACAACCAAAUAUUAGAGUGUGACCUUUUUUUUGGUGGUGACUUUUUUUUUUUUUUUUUUUGGCCAGGCAGUGUAAUUCUGGAAGGUGAAUUGGUCACGACUAAUCUCCAGUCUCCUAUUGGAGGGUUUGUCAUGCUCUUUGGACUGGUCUAUGCCCUUAAUAUGUUAAUAUGAGGUAUCCUAAAAAGUGCAAACACAGUUUGAGUUUUUUUGUUUGUUUUUUUUAUAAAGUGCUUCUGGGACUGGAUGGGAAAAGAAUGAGUACAAAAGUGUACAAACUCAGCAUCUUGCUACAUAGCAAGUAGUUCAUUCAUCUGCUUUCAUACCGUUACAUUUUAUAGUUUUGUAGUUUAACUGUUAAACUGUUUUCAAAGUUACAUCAGACAAAAUGUGAAUGUUAUUUGUUUUGAUGGUUUGUAAAGCUCCUGCACCCAUUAUCUUUGUUGUGGCUUCCAGGAUGGCAGGGAAGAAACAGUGGUAACUAACGACAAUGAGUCUGAAAUUUUGAUUUUAUUUGCAAUUAAAAGAAGAUGUAAAUAACAAUACUGGCCUGUGUGAUUUUAAAUGUAUUAAUACGUAAAGGGUCACUGCUGUUUGAACCUCUUUAUUAAACCAUAAAUGAAGCAAAGACUGUUUUGAAAAGCAUUUGAGAUUUUAAAGAUUUUACAUCGUCAUGAGAUGGUUAAAUUGUUCCCAGAUAAAAGGAAUGCCAGUGCAUUCAGCUUUAAUGUAAGGCUUGACUCUACUCACUAGUAGACUUGACUCACCAGUCCAUUUACCUCUACAAAUCCACUUCUUUCAUCAAUAUAGAGCUUUGUCAAACCUGCAAAAUGCUGUUUUUGAUCAUUUCAAAAAUUUAUAAAACUGAAAUUUCGAGAAAUGUGUUUCAUUCUUUUCAAUGCAGAUUCACAGCUUCCCUGCCAUGGCUGAGUCAUGGAGUUCUAUACUGAAAUAAUACCGUUUUUUUUUGUUUUUUUUUGAGCAGGUCUCAGAGACCCAUAGCUUUCAUUUUAUACGUUGAACAUUUUGUGCAUGCACUGUUAAUAAAAAGUAAAUACAUAACACAUUCAUAAUUUUGCCAAGAAUGUAGGACAAUAUUGAGGGUUGAAAUGUGUUAGUUUAAAAUUUGCUCAAUUAACACUGAACAUUAACAUAAUUUUCAUCUUGAAGCAAUGCUUGCUUAGAAUGAGAAUGUAAUGGAUAACAUGAACAACUAAGACUUUUUAGAUGUAAAUGAUUACGAUAUAAAUUGUAAGUUGAACCAAUGAACCUCAUUAAUCCAAUAAUUGUACAUUAAUUUUAUUUAGAAUAGCAAAAGACGAAAUCUGAACUAGAGUGAAGACGUUUCGCUGCUCAUCCAAGCCGCUUCUUCAGUUCUGUCAGAUUACUGGUGGACACUGCCUUAUAUCCAUCUGAAGGGAGGGGCUAACUACACUGAAACUGUAAACAUCUAUUGUCUCCAGUUUCAGCUGAAACUACCCCUUUACACAAACAUCUUAAUUUAGAUUUUUUUUUCCAAUUACAAAUAUGAUCAUUUAAAUUGGCCAAUUAUGCAAAUUCAUUUUUUUUAUUGACCCAAUUCAAUUUUAAACAUUCAACCAAUUUAUAAUGAAUUACCUGCUAUAUAUUAAACAAAUUUAGUCUGACCAAUUUAAUAUAUAUCAUUAUCAAGUAAGAAUAUUUAGAUGUGAAUGAUUAUGAUAUAAAUAAUAGGUUAAACCAGUUACUACUUCACUUAACCUAUUUCAGCCUUUGUUCCUGGAUGUGUUUACUUACUAUUAAAUAUGCUUACCAACAAAUAGCACAGAUAUUUUAUCAGCAAAUAUUUUCUUUAGAAAAUCUUGUAGCCCUACAAGAAUUAUGUGGUGUUGAGAAUGUAUGGUUCUGUAUCACAUUACGUUGUAACAGCCCUUUGUACAGUGUUCUUGACUUGUAGCUUAACUUUGUGGUGAAUAAAUAUAACACCGAACAUACAU